UGCACUCUUCAUAGAACAUUAUGUCAGGCAUUUAGUUCUAGGAAACAGGCUUAUCUGAUUUCCCAGUUCUAGGAAACAGGCUUAUCUGAUUUCCCAGUCCAUAGCAGAUUAGAAAUAGCACAUUCAAAGCCGAGAAAGGGGCUGUUAGAAGCAGGCAGCCAGACAGCGAAGGAAGAGACAUAAAGGUAGAAAUCAGAAGCCCGGAUGUAGCAGUGUGGGAUUAUUUAAUGUUGGGGAGAACAAGUCCGCCCACCUCCCGGUUCUUGUGGGUAUCAGAGUACAUCUCAAUGACUAAUCCAAAAUGACGACCAUGUGCUUGCUUUCUGCCUUAGAAGGGGGGAUGAGGCUGAUGAAUAUUUUUAAACAUUUCUUUGUAAACAAGGAAAAGGUUAAAUGAUUAAAGGGAUAAGCUUAUCUGAAAAGGCACACAGAGAACAAACUCACUCCCUUGUUGUGCUCAGUAAACAGGUGUCAUACAUAUAUGCAAAUGGACUCUGAAAAGUUUGCUUCAUCCAGAAAAAAGGGAAGGUGAAAAAUAAGGCCGUGUUUUGACUGCUGCACACAGCAGCUCAUUUCUGUUUGGGUCCCCAUAAGAAGGCCCAGCAGAGGAGAAGCAGAGCUGGUGAAUAAGGACCUGGUGCGGCUCUUCAGCAAGUUACUUUAUUUUGGUUCAAUGGCUCAGCAAGCCUGGCUAAGCGGUUUCCUCCGAAGCCUGCCAGUAGGAAGUAAAUAAGCUGCUUGACUCUCCUACGACAGGGGGUUGAGCACUCGUAAUGAAAAUACUGCUUAGCACAAUGGAAGAGAGCAGACUGGAAGACAGAAGAUCUGAUCAGACAGCAGGAAGGUCACCGGGAGAGCCGAACCCACAUGCUUGCAUGCCCGAUCCUUUUCCCAGUUCUGUAGGCCAUGGCUCAUGGUUUGGUGACAUGAGUUUCUGGUAGAUUUUAAUCCCCACUUGUCCCCUUGGGCCUGCAGGCCCAGGACACUUCAACCUUUGGGAAAAAAUAAGUGCAGAGACUGAAGGUGCCAGCGUUCUUCCUAUGUUUGCUUGUCCUGAGAGAUUUGCAAUUGUUUGAGCCCCUGGAUCCAGCUACCUAUGAAGCCACUUGCAUUCCUGAAUUUCCCAAUUAUGAUCAAAUAAAUCAUCUUUUUUUGUGAAGUUCCUCUGCCUGCUCACACCUUUUGCAAAAAGUCCUUUGGUCAAUAUUCUUUUUGUUCUUGUUGGUAGCAUCCUUUCCCAUUGGCCUCCUGACUGAUAGCAGAUCAGUCAUGUUACAUUGACACAGGCAUACCUUCACUGACACUAAAAUGCUCUCAAGAGAGCUGAUACAGUUGCUUUUACAUAUAUUUACUAUACAAAAGUCAAAACCUUUGAAUAUUUUGCCCAAGAGGAAAUGUUCACCGCCCCCCCCCCCCAACAAGUACAAUGCUUGGCUAUUAUAUUC